rnacentral:rRNA from 1 species
AUGCCAACUCGUAACAUCAUCUUCAACCCUAUGCCACGGCGGACGGGAUGGAUAGCUCCACCUAUAGGGCAGACGAAAGUGAAUGUUGAUGCUGCAGUGGUGAGGGGAAGAAGACAUGGAGCUGUCGCCGCAAUAUCCAGAGAUUCUGCUGGUCAGCUCUUGGGAGCCUCGGCUGUGGUAUUCGGAGGCAUAUCAAAACCGGUGACUCUCGAAUGCAUGGCGAUCAGGGAGGCGUUGGCUCUCGCUGAUGAUUUGAACGUGUCAAACAUCCAGGUGGCUUCGGACGCAAAGGUGGUAGUCGAGGAUAUCAGAGAGAACAACCCAACAGAGUAUGGAGCGAUCAUACAUGAAAUAAUAGAGCAUGGAUCUUUUUUUCCAAGUUUGUAA